AGGACGUGCGCGCGAGCAACAGAGCAACAGUUUCCAGGCGCUGCUGCAGCCUGUAGCGCGUACUGUCUGCCAACUUUCAACCGUCUCACUUUCUGCUAAGUACUGUUGCUUGACCUCCGUGUGAUGAAGUGACCGUGGUGAUGAAAAAUGAAAGUACGAGCGUGAUUUGAUAAUAGGAGAACUAGUUUGUCGUAAGCUUGGAAACACAAGAACUGGUGUGGUGAAACAGAAAAGUUUAUGCCGCGGUUUGACAUUUCCCGCCCUGAACACUGAACACGCCGGGCAUUAGUAAGGGCGGCCAAAGGUGGGUGUGUGGUGUGUGGCAGCAGCAGUCAGUGACUAGUGCCGGCGGGUGGCGGCGGCGGCGGUGUUGGAGGUGGUGCCUUACAAGGCGUGCAGGAAAGCCAUGACGGCUUUGGUGGCAGCAUGCAGACGGGCGGCAACGGACGGUCUGCCAAGUCUACCUGGGCUGGGCGGACUAGCACCCUGGCUGCUGCUGGCGGCGUGGACACAAGCGGCCGUCGCAAGAGUCAACGUGAAAUGUUUAUGGUAGAAUCUCGAGGGAACACGGGCGGAAAUGGAGGGAGGUGAUAAAGGAUUCCCACCGUUGCCCUUUCGCCACUCCCAGCCGGCAUAACGAGAGUAACACAAGAGGCUAAGGACACCACACAAUGUACACCUGCAAGAAAGAUCGAAAGAAAUAAGAACACGACGAAAGAAAAGAGAGAGAGAGAGAGAGAGAGAGAGAGAGAGAGAGAGAGAGAGAGAGAGAGAGAGAGAGAGAGAGAGAGAGAGAGAGA